rnacentral:rRNA from 1 species
GAUGAACGCUGGCGGCGUGCCUAAUACAUGCAAGUCGAGCGAACAGACGCGGAGCUUGCUCCUCUGACGUUAGCGGCGGACGGGUGAGUAACACGUGGAUAACCUACCUAUAAGACUGGGAUAACUUCGGGAAACCGGAGCUAAUCCCGUAUAAUAUAUUGAACCGCAUGGUUCAAUAGUGAAAUACGGUUUUGCUGUCACUUAUAGAUGGAUCCGCGCCGCAUUAGCUAGUUGGUAAGGUAACGGCUUACCAAGGCAACGAUGCGUAGCCGAACUGAGAGGGUGAUAGGCCACACUAGAACGGGGACACGGUCAAGACGACUACGGGAGGCAGCAGAAGGGAAUGUUACGCAAUGGGCGAAAGCAUGACGGAGCAACGGCGCGUGAGUGAUGAAGGUCUUCGGAUCGUAAAAAUCUGUUAUUAGGGAAGAACAAAUGUGUAAGUAAAUAUGCACGUCUUGACGGUACCUAAUAAGAAAGCAACGGCUAACUACGUG